GUGAAUCAUCAAAUUUUUGAACGCAAAUUGCGCUUCCUGGCAUCCCGGGAAGUAUGCCUGUUUGAGGGUCAGUAUUAAUAAAAAAUCGUUUUAUUUCCAAAUUUUGACGUUUCCGGAGGUAGGUCUAUCUUCACAUUUUUGGUUAAGUGGCUUAAAAUUGACCUUUAUUGCUUAUUAUUAAACGUACAUGAAUUUUUUUUAUUCGUCUAUUCUUAAUGCUAAAAUCGUAUUAGAUGCUAUCACAUCGUGUGGCUUCGUCUCAAU
rnacentral:misc_RNA from 1 species